UACGGAGGGUCCAAGCGUUAUCCGGAAUCAUUGGGUUUAAAGGGUCCGUAGGCGGUUUUGUAAGUCAGUGGUGAAAGCCCAUCGCUCAACGGUGGAACGGCCAUUGAUACUGCAAGACUGAAUUAUUGGGAAGUAACUAGAAUAUGUAGUGUAGCGGUGAAAUGCUUAGAGAUUACAUGGAAUACCAAUUGCGAAGGCAGGUUACUACCAAUAUAUUGACGCUGAUGGACGAAAGCG
rnacentral:rRNA from 1 species